CGAGGGAAUUACCUGAACUGUAAAGCAUAUGUGGAUGUUGGAUGCCACGACAGGUGAAACAGGUCCAUUCUUCAUUUACGGGUGGUUCACCUGCACAUUUUCUGUGAAAGAAAUUAAUUUCACAAUCAUCAAUCGAACAGCAAAUCAGGUCUGUGGAGUUAUUUGACUUGCAUAUGCAAAACGUUUCGAUGUCGAAUUAUUUUCCAAGCUCCAAGGCUUCGGCUUCAGUAAUAAAUAUAUCGUCGUCCAUGAUCAGCUGAUGACUGGUAUAUGGUAACUGUAAACAUCCGGUGUAUAUCCGGUCAGUUUAUGACACCUCGGGUGUUUCCGUUCUUCCUCGGGUAUGUAAUUAGGACAAAA
rnacentral:lncRNA from 1 species